UCUAGGUAAACCACGGUGGCGCGUCCCCUCUCAGAUUGAGCCGCUCGCCCCUACAGCCGCCACCGCCAUGAACACCGCAUGACCACGUCAUCCCCUCGCCUCCUCGCCUCCUCGUCCCAGGACGCCGACCCAGAUGCGCUCGCUACCGAGGUCGUUCGAUUGGAGCAGAGGAUCCACGCUCGCUGUCGAGUGGAGCAGAGGAUCAACGUUCGCUGCCGAGGUCGUCUGAGCGGACCGGAUCCCUUGUUGGGUGCUCGACGAGCAGCGCAACGGGGUGCAGAGGAUCAACGUCGAGAUAUUUAGAUGGGAGGGGGAGGCAGAGGCGAAUACGAUGCAGGACUUGUCUAGGACGGAGAAAGGGCGCAACUGCUGCUCAGUGCGAAAACAGAGGUGAAUUCGGGUUCUAGUCUUUCGCAUGGCAUGAACAUGACAGAUAUAUCGGGGACGAUCAUUGUCAGGACGUGCAUAGGCUGCCGUGUAGCAGGUUUGUGGAGGUGACGGCGCCAGUCUUGUGAAGGGAUGCUUGGAGAUGCGUGUGGCACUGAUCUAGAAUCCCAAAGAGCAGAUUGCCAUUGUAGACGCUCAGUACAUGGUCCAUUGUGCAGUUCCCAUGCUCCAGGGCGAGGUAAUUGGUCACAAAGAAAAGUCAGGAGGCCGUUUUGAGUGUUUUUUGUAGAAUGGAUGGUCCACCUUAAAAGUAACAUCACGAGGCAUUAUAGACAUUGGUGAAGGAUGAUAAGGACUUGUUAUGGUGUCUCAUGAGUGAAGAGAAAACAUUUACUAGUUGUUACUUGAGUUUUUUGGUACAAAUGAACAUCUAUAUUGGUUGUUCUGGAUAGUGUUUUUGCUUAGUAAUUUCGCAAUGGUGUCUUUAUCUCCAGAUAUGUAUGUGGGGAAUUAGAGACAUUGCGAGGACCAACAUUAAGUAAGGCAGAAUUGGUUUCUAAACUACAAGCUUGUGAGCAAGCGAGGAAAGUGCUCGAAGGAAUGUUCAAUGGCAUGGUGCAAGAGGUGUUAGAAAUUAAGUGUAUUGUGUCUAGUAUAUCAGUAAGUGAUAGUUCUCA